UGGGGAAUAUUGCGCAAUGGGCGAAAGCCUGACGCAGCGACGCCGCGUGAGGGAUGAAGGUUUUCGGAUCGUAAACCUCUGUCAGAAGGGAAGAAACCGCACUGUGCUAAUCAGCAGUGCCUUGACGGUACCUUCAAAGGAAGCACCGGCUAACUCCGUGCCAGCAGCCGCGGUAAUACGGAGGGUGCAAGCGUUAAUCGGAAGUACUGGGCGUAAAGCGCACGUAGGCUGCUUUGUAAGUCAGGGGUGAAAUCCCACGGCUCAACCGUGGAACUGCCUUUGAUACUGCUUAGCUUGAAUCCGGGAGAGGGUGGCGGAAUUCCAGGUGUAGGAGUAAAAUCCGUAGAUAUCUGGAGGAACAUCAGUGGCGAAGGCGGCCACCUGGACCGGUAUUGACGCUGAGGUGCGAAAGCGUGGGGAGCAAACAGG
rnacentral:rRNA from 1 species